AUGGCGGACGACGCCGUCGGAGCGAACUGCCCUCGCCGCAGCACGCGCCUCCACCCCCGGAUCCACGCGAAUGAGGAGGAAGCCGAAAUUGCAACCCGCCGUUACAGCCCGCGCCUCCAUCCCCAAACCCUCGCGAGCAAGGAGGUCUCCGGAGUGACCCGCCGCCACCGCCGCGGCACGCCCCUCCACCCUCAGAUCCACGGUAAUGAGGAGGGCGCCGGAGUGACCCGACGUUGCAGCCCGCGAUUCCAUCCCCAAAUCCACGCGAGUGGGGAUGGGGAGGCCGCCCGAGUGACCCGCUGCCGCCGCGGAACCUCGCCGGAGGCGGCUGACUCCCUGCCGGCCAGCGACGAUCUCCUCCGGGAGAUCCUCCUCCGCCUCCCGCCGCAGCCGUCCUCCCUCCCACGCGCAUCCGCCGCCUGCAAGCGCUGGCUGCGCGUCGCCGCCGACCCCGGUUCCUCCGCGGCUUCUCUGUCCGCCACCGCAAGCCGCCCCUCCUCGGCGUCUUCGAGCCCCUCGACUGGGAGGUCGACUCGCGCGGCCUCCUUAAUCGUCGCUCCUUGA
rnacentral:rRNA from 1 species